CAAAAUGUAGUUUAAAAAAAAUUCUAAUUUUGGGAAUUAGUGAUGCUGUUAUUAGUUAUUUUGA
rnacentral:tRNA from 1 species